CCUACGGGGGGCUGCAGUAAGGAAUAUUGGUCAAUGGGCGCAAGCCUGAACCAGCCAUGCCGCGUGAAGGAUGACGGCCCUAUGGGUUGUAAACUUCUUUUGUACGGGAAAAAACCACCGGUCGUGAAUCGGUGCUGAUGGUACCGUAAGAAUAAGCAUCGGCUAACUCCGUGCCAGCAGCCGCGGUAAUACGGAGGAUGCAAGCGUUAUCGGGAUUCAUUGGGUUUAAAGGGGGAUAAUACGGAAUAGUUGAAAGCCUACAGCUUAACUGUAGAACUGCCAUUGAUACUGUUAUUCUUGAGUGUUGUUGAGGUAGGCGGAAUGUGUCAUGUAGCGGUGAAAUGCUUAGAUAUGACACAGAACACCGAUCGCGAAGGCAGCUUACCAAGCAACAACUGACGCUCAUGCACGAAAGCGUGGGGAUCAAACAGGAUUAGAUACCGAGUAGUC
rnacentral:rRNA from 1 species